rnacentral:rRNA from 1 species
GACGAACGCUGGCGGCGUGCUUAACACAUGCAAGUCGAACGGAAAGGCCCUGCUUUUGUGGGGUGCUCGAGUGGCGAACGGGUGAGUAACACGUGAGUAACCUGCCCUUGACUUUGGGAUAACUUCAGGAAACUGGGGCUAAUACCGGAUAGGAGCUCCUGCUGCAUGGUGGGGGUUGGAAAGUUUCGGCGGUUGGGGAUGGACUCGCGGCUUAUCAGCUUGUUGGUGGGGUAGUGGCUUACCAAGGCUUUGACGGGUAGCCGGCCUGAGAGGGUGACCGGCAACAUUGGGACUGAGAUACGGCCCAGACUCCUACGGGAGGCAGCAGUGGGGAAUAUUGCACAUUGGGCGGAAGCCUGAUGCAGCAACGCCGCGUGCGGGAUGACGGCCUUCGGGUUGUAAACCGCUUUCGCCUGUGACGAAGCGUGAGUGACGGUAAUGGGUAAAGAAGCACCGGCUAACUACGU